UCGGAACGAUUCUCUCUGUUCCGAUUUUGUGAUAGUCAGGCAGGCUAAACAUUGCUAUAAUAAGACCAUACAUGCGUCUCUAGAUCUAACUCUUUACCUACUUAGCUCAGGUCUUAGAAAUGCUAGUCACAAUA